rnacentral:rRNA from 1 species
GACGAACGCUGGCGGCGUGCUUAACACAUGCAAGUCGAACGGAAAGGCCCUGCUUUUGUGGGGUGCUCGAGUGGCGAACGGGUGAGUAACACGUGAGUAACCUGCCCUUGACUUUGGGAUAACUUCAGGAAACUGGGGCUAAUACCGGAUAGGAGCUCCUGCUGCAUGGUGGGGGUUGGAAAGUUUCGGCGGUUGGGGAUGGACUCGCGGCUUAUCAGCUUGUUGGUGGGGUAGUGGCUUACCAAGGCUUUGACGGGUAGCCGGCCUGAGAGGGUGACCGGCCACAUUGGGCCUGCGAUACGGCCCAGACUCCUACGGUGGGCAGCAGUGGGGAAUAUUGCACAAUGGGCGGAAGCCUGAUGCAGCAACGCCGCGUGCGUGAUGACGGCCUUUGGGUUGUAAACCGCUUUCGCCUGUGACGAAGCGUGAGUGACGGUAAUGGGUAAAGAAGCACCGGCUAACUACGUG